GUGCCUACGGGGGGCAGCAGUGGGGAAUAUUGGACAAUGGGGGAAACUCUGAUCCAGCGACGCCGCGUGAGUGAAGAAGUAUUUCGGUAUGUAAAGCUCUAUCAGCAGGGAAGAAAAUGACGGUACCUGACUAAGAAGCCCCGGCUAACUACGUGCCAGCAGCCGCGGUAAUACGUAGGGGGCAAGCGUUAUCCGGAAUUACUGGGUGUAAAGGGAGCGUAGACGGCUGUGCAAGUCUGGAGUGAAAGGCGGGGGCCCAACCCCCGGACUGCUCUGGAAACUGUACGGCUUGAGUGCAGGAGAGG
rnacentral:rRNA from 1 species